CAAAAUCUCAAUCCAUCCCACGCCGACGGUGAGAACCGGCCAGAUAAGAGAAUCUAAGAUAGGGUAGAAUCGGAGUGGAGAUUCUUCGCUAUGGUGGACGACGACGAAGAUGACAAUUUCGGCGACUUCAGUUUCGUUACCAAACAUCCCGAUCAGAUCAACAACCGAACUUCACCCACGACCAUCGAUGACGACGAUUGGGGCGAUUUCGUCGACCAUUCCUCUCAGAUCGGCGACGCUUUCGAUCUCUCCCGUCCCCAGCCUUCUCCCAAUUCAAACCCCUCCGACAUGUCCCUGAAGAUUCAGUGGGCGAAG
rnacentral:misc_RNA from 1 species